GCAUCGGUGCCCGAGCGGACGAAGGGAGCGGCCUGCAAAGCCGUCUUAUCGCGGGUUCGAAUCCCGCCCGAUGCU
rnacentral:tRNA from 2 species